GGCCUCAUAGUAUAACGGUUAGUACAACGGGUUUUCAUCCCGUCAAUCCGAGUUCGACUCUCGGUGAGGUCACCA
rnacentral:tRNA from 1 species